CAAUUUCUUUUUCCUGUGAAGAUCGAUUCUCUCGAUCUGACUCCUCGGAGAUUCGCAAAAAAUCCGAUUACGAUCUUAUGAUUAGUUUCGGUGGACUCUUCGAAGAAUUGAAUAUCCGAUUACGAUCUUAUGAUUAGUCGAUUCCGCCUGAAACCCCGGAUGUGAUUGUUGGGAUCUUUCACUCAGUCGUCGUCGAGAUGAUGAUAGUAUCGCUAUUGGAGGAGGAAACUCACCUCUGCCUUUUUUCUUCCAGAGUUGCUGCUUUACAUACCUGGAAGCUUACUCUUCUGCAUCGCCACCAAAGGUAUGUGCUUCAGAAGGUGUUCAAAACCAAAUUGUUAAAUAUUUUGCGGAGAUUUCAACUGUACCAGACUUUUGUGACGGGCAGGUAUGUGCUUCUCUCAUGGACGUUCAAAAGGAUUUGUCUAACAUUUAUGAAUUAUUGGUGAAAGUACCCACGUUUUUGUUUCAUAGAAGAAAACACUGGUCACUUGAAAUUCUGAAGGUCUAUUUGCUUCUGCAUCAACCGAUUUCAAAUCCUAAUGUGGUGUAUCUCAAACCUCUAUACAUGGGUUUUGCACAAUCACUUAAAAAUACAAAAACAUACAUACACAAUUACAUACAUGCAUUCAUAUAUGCAUAUGUACAUACUUCGUUCUGUAUAUAUUCAUGCUUCCAUACUUCAUUGUUUACUAGCUUUCUUGAUUUUCUGUUUUGACUUUUAUGCUAACUUACUUGCUUCCUUAUUUACUGUUCAUUUAUA